rnacentral:lncRNA from 1 species
AACUUUACUGUCCCAUUCAUUUUUUAAAAAGAUUUACUUAUUUUAUUUUGAAAGAUAGAGUUACAGAGAGGCAGAGGCAGAGAGGGCGAGAGGUCUUCCAUCCACUGGUUCACUCCCCAAAUGGCUGCAAAGGCCGGAGCUGGGCCAAUCCGAAGCCAGGAGCCAGGAGCUUCUUCCGGGUCCCCCUGUGGGUGCAGGGGCCCAAGGACUUGGGUCAUCUUCUACUGCUUUCCCAGGCCACAGCAGAGAGCUGGAUCGGAAGUGGAGCAGCCGGGACUCCAACCAGCACCCAUUUGGGAUGCCAGCACUCCAGGCAGUGGCUUUACUCACUACGCCACAGCGCUGGCCCCAUCCCAGCCAUUUUUAACCCUUCAUUUCCGUGGUGCUAAGCACAUUCACACUGCUGUAAAACAGACCUCCCAAACAUUCCAAAUCUGAAACUCUCAAUCCAGAAACAGUAACUCCUCCUUCUCUGCCCCUCACCGCCAGCCCCAGGCUCCUCCACGCUGCCAUCCGCCUCCGUUUCGCAAUCCCACCGGCAGCGCACGCGGGCUCCGUCUGCCCCACGUCUUGGACAUGCUGGCUGCUCUCUGGGUUCUUCCCAGUAGCAGCCCCACGGCGGUGGAAGCUGUUCGUGUGCAGUUCACUGGUGACCAGAGAUCCAGCAUGUUCCCACGUGUGCGCCGCCUUUUACAGAGUACCUUUGGAAAAACACCAACUCAAGCCCAUCAUAAUUAGGUUAUUUGACUUUUUGCAUCGAACAGAUCAUCGCACAGAGGUGGUUUCCCGGCUACGCCACACAGAUUCAGCAGGUGACUCUGAGCUCCGCAUGCAGCUCCUACGAAGCGCGAUGCAGGCAACAAACAGUUCCAGACGCCUUCUUGGCCAGCUCUCCCAAAAGCACUGGGUUGUAAAUACGCAGAAAGCCAGGCCUCCGCCUUCUAGGAGCCGACCAACAAGUCAGCAGAAAGCUCAGUCUUCUGCGGCUAGCGGUGGGGGCUCAGGGUUCAAGGAUGUUUAUGCAACCGUGGUAAACAACAGCAGACUUCUGCCGGUGCUUUGUGACUGUGCGGAAGAUGAGAUGCACGCAGCCUGUUUCCAAGUACGGCAGCAGAAUGAAGAAGAGCAGAGGAGAGGCAGACGAAAACGGUCAUCAUUUCUCUGGGUGUGGGUUUUUGGUCUGUGUUUCUGUUCCCUAAAACCCCCCUCCACACUCCAGCAAGGAUCAGCUCUGGCAUUCAGAGCCAGAGAAGGGAGGGACCCGGUGGGAGGGGUAGGCUGGCAGAGGGUGUCUUCAUCGCCGUGGCUCUAAGGCACCGCCACUCCGCCUCCCUGGCAGCUUCGUCUCCUGGGAGUUUACAAAGCACUGCCCCCUGGGCCCACCCCGGAGAUUUUGAUGCAUUGCUCUGCAUGCGGGCCAGGAGGCUCUGUUGCGUAGCCAGAGCUGUGACCUUCUCUGGGCUCCUCCCCAUCUGCACUCCCUGGUGUGGGCCGUGGACACAGGAUCAGUUACACCAGGAGGCUUCCUGGAGCAGGAGUGUAGCCCAGCAGUUAAGCCCCUGCAUCCCACCCCCCACUGCCUGGGUUUGAGUCCCAGAUCCUGCUCCUGACUCCAACUUCCUGCUAAUGAGAACCUGGGUAACAGUGCUGAUGGCUCAGCUACUUGGCUCCCUGCCACCCACCUGUGGGAGACCUGGAUUGGGAGAGCAAACACAAUGAAUGCAAAGUUUUUAAAUGCACGGGGCCAUUGUGGUGUAGCCAGCGAAGCUGCCGCCUGUGAUGUCAGUUCCAUUCCUGGCUGCUCCACUUCCCAUCCAGUUCCCUGCUAAUGCGCCUGGGAAAAGCAGCAGAAGAUGGCCCAAGUGUGUGGGCCCCUGCAUUCCACUUGGGAGACCCAGAUGAAGCUCCUGGCUCCUGACUUCAGCCUGGCCCAGCACUGGCCAUUGUUGCCCUCUGCGGAGUGAACCAGUGGGUGGAAGAUCCUUCUCUUGUCUCUCCCUGUCUCUCUGUGUAACUCUGACUUUCAAAAUAAAUAAAUCUUUUUUUAAAAAAGGUUUUUAAAU